GUUCAGCUGACAAGGCAACAUCAGCGAAAUACAAAAAAAGUGAUUCUUUCACGUACCACUGGAGGAAGCUCACGUACCACUCGUGGUAUCCGUACCACACUUUCCGAAUCACUGUUCUAUGACAUUCCCAGGUUGACACCACAUUUCAGAACAACGAGAGGAAAACGAAGUGAUGAUUACAUGCUCGUGUGCCAAAGUGGGAUUUAACGGCGAGCUGUUUUGU